GUGGGGAAUAUUGCACAAUGGAGGGAACUCUGAUGCAGCGACGCCGCGUGAGUGAAGAAGGUCUUCGGAUCGUAAAACUCUGUCCUUGGUGAAGAUAAUGACGGUAACCAAGGAGGAAGCCCCGGCUAACUACGUGCCAGCAGCCGCGGUAAUACGUAGGGGGCUAGCGUUGUCCGGAUUUACUGGGCGUAAAGGGUGAGUAGGCGGUUAUGUAUGUCAGAUGUAAAAGGCGCGGGCUUAACUUGCGUUAGCAUUUGAAACUGCAUAACUUGAGUGCAGGAGAGGUAAGCGGAAUUCCUAGUGUAGCGGUGAAAUGCGUAGAUAUUAGGAGGAACACCGGUGGCGAAGGCGGCUUACUGGACUGUAACUGACGCUGAGUCACGAAAGCGUGGGUAGCAAACAGGAUUAGAAACCCCAGUAGUCC
rnacentral:rRNA from 1 species